AAGUCACCCAAACCAUGGCUGAGUGUCAUUUGAUAGGAAAAGGCUGGGAUCACAAGGAAGCUUUCUUUCAACCAAAAGAAGAAGUAAGAAAGAAAGAAAAAAACCAGCUGAGGUAAGCAGUGUCAAAUCCAGCUGCAUCAACAUGAGGGUGGCCAGACAAACGAGCACCUUGGCCGGGUCGCGCCAGAGAGCCCAGCCUGAAGCCUUGGCCCAGGCCAGGGAAAGGCUUGGAGGGACCUGGUGAUGCAAAGAUCCCAGCUUGGACAGGAAUCCUCUGCUCCUCUUGUUCUUCUGACCCGUCCACAUAGCUCACCUGGAAGGUGGCUGGAGAGGAAAAUGUCCUGCAGUCUGCACACACAGGAAGGCAAGCAGUGCCUUUAAACAUAUUUUGUGGAGUGGGCACCAUCCAUAGAAGUGACAGCCAGAACUCCCUGCCAGAUCUCCUUUGAAGGGGUGGACAGAUCUCCAAGGGAUCAAGCAUUUCACAGUGUGAUUCAAGCUGGAGAAGCCAGGAGGACCUUGGGCAUGUGAGGCAGGCAUGGUGUCACUAAGCUAAAUCUCCAGGCCCUCAUCCUUUAUUUGUGAUCAACACAAAAUAAAAUGAGUCCAAGUUAAGAGUAUCAGAUCCCCACAUUUAUAUAAUGCCUAUAAUUUCACAUUAGCAUGAUGUGGAAUUUUCAUAAAAGAAAGUGGAUGCAUUUCAGGGGACUACUUUUCACAUGAACUCGUGAUCAGAAAGUCUCAUUGGAAACUUUUAGUGUCAUUGUUAAAGUCAGAUACCAAUAAACUAUCACCUCUGGAAAUAUUGUGGUCCUUCAAGAGACUUGAAGAGGUGUUGCCUUUAAUCAUUAAGACUGAUUUAGGGUGGGCAGAGCACCCAGGACUGACUGAGCUGAGCUCUGUCUGGCUGGUAAGGACCCCCCAGGCAUGCCCACCAGCCACCAGUGGAACCGUGCAGGUGCCUACAACCACAGAGCCCCCCACCCCACUGCUGCUGCCUCUGGCCUCUUGGCUGUGCAGCUACCUGGUUCCACACUACAGAGGCACAAGGGGACAUAACGGCCAUUGUCCUGAGCUGCAGAUGUGAACAAGAGAGAGGGCCUCUCUCAGGCUCCCUGCUGAUAACUGAAG
rnacentral:lncRNA from 1 species